rnacentral:misc_RNA from 1 species
UUCUUUCUUUUUUUUUCUUUUUUGAUUGUUUUAUUUUUUUGGGGGGGGGCUCUUGCUUUCUCUAUGAUUUUAACACCUUGAGCUCAGUGGUUUCAAAUGGGAAUUUCAAAGGUGUAAUUGAUUGGAUAUUUGUUUGUGCACAUGAGAAAUAAGAUGUCAAUUUAUGUACUGUUUGGCUUUCGUAUAAGAACAUGGUAUAGAAGAAAAUAAAUAAAUUUUACUCCGUGUGGUUCCAAG